rnacentral:rRNA from 1 species
GACGAACGCUGGCGGCGUGCUUAACACAUGCAAGUCGAACGGAAAGGCCCUGCUUUUGUGGGGUGCUCGAGUGGCGAACGGGUGAGUAACACGUGUGUAACCUGCCCUUGACUUUGGGAUAACUUCAGGAAACUGGGGCUAAUACCGGAUAGGAGCUCCUGCUGCAUGGUGGGGGUUGGAAAGUUUCGGCGGUUGGGGAUGGACUCGCGGCUUAUCAGCUUGUUGGUGGGGUAGUGGCUUACCAAGGCUUUGACGGGUAGCCGGCCUGAGAGGGUGACCGGCCACGUUGGGCCUGAGAUACGGCCCAGACUCCUACGGGAGGCAGCAGUGGGGAAUAUUGCACAAUGGGCGGAAGCCUGAUGCAGCAGCGCCGCGUGCGGGAUGACGGCCUUCGGGUUGUAAACCGCUUUCGCCUGUGACGAAGCGUGAGUGACGGUAAUGGGUAAAGAAGCACCGGCUAACUACGUG